rnacentral:rRNA from 1 species
GUGUCAGCCGCCGCGGUAAAACGUAGGAGGCAAGCGUUAUCCGGAGUUACUGGGCGUAAAGCGUAUGUAGGCGGUUGGGCAAGUGGCGUGUGAAAGCUCCCGGCUAAACUGGGAGACGACAGGUCAGACUGCCGAACUCGAGUCCGAUAGAGGGGCGUAGAAUUCCGGGUGUAGCGGUGAAAUGUGUAGAGAUCCGGAGGAAUACCAGUGGCGCAAGCGGCGCCCUGGGUCGGAACUGACGCUGAGAUACGAAAGCGUGGGGAGCGAACGGGAUUAGAAACCCCAGUAGUCC